rnacentral:rRNA from 1 species
AUUGAACGCUGGCGGCAUGCCUUACACAUGCAAGUCGAACGGUAACAGGUUAAGCUGACGAGUGGCGAACGGGCGAGUAAUAUAUCGGAACGUGCCCAGCCGUGGGGGAUAACUGCUCGAAAGAGCAGCUAACACCGCAUACGACCUGAGGGUGAAAGCGGGGGAUCGCAAGACCCCGCGCGAUGGAGCGGCCGAUAUCAGAUUAGCUAGUUGGUGGGGUACAAGCCUACCAAGGCAACGAUCUGUAGCUGGUCUGAGAGGACGACCAGACACACUGGGACUGAGACACGGCCCAGACUCCUACGGGAGGCAGAAGUGGGGAAUUUUGGACAAUGGACGAAAGUCUGAUCCAGCCAUGCCGCGUGCGGGAAGAAGGCCUUCGGGUUGUAAACCGCUUUUGUCAGGGAAGAAAAGGUUCUGGUUAAUACCUGGGACUCAUGACGGUACAUGAAGAAUAAGCACCGGCUAACUACGUGCCAGCCGCCGCGGUAA